GAUUAACGCUGGCGGCGUGCAUAACACAUGCAAGUCGAACGAUGAAACUUAGUAGACUUCUUCGGAAAGAAACUAAGCGGCUUAGUGGCGAACGGGUGAGUAACGCGUGAGUAACCUGCCUUACACAAGGGGAUAGCCUUUGGAAACGAAGAAUAAUACCCUAUAAAACCAUAAAAGCACAUGCUAGAAUGGUCAAAGUGAUAGCGGUGUAAGAUGGACUUGCGUCUGAUUAGCUAGUUGGUGAGAUAAAAGCUCACCAAGGCAACGAUCAGUAGCCGGCUUGAGAGAGUGUACGGCCACAUUGGGACUGAGACACGGCCCAGACUCCUACGGGAGGCAGCAGUGGGGAAUUUUGCACAAUGGGGGAAACCCUGAUGCAGCGACGCCGCGUGAUUUAGAAGGCCUUCGGGUUGUAAAAAUCUUUUGUAUAGGAAGAAAAUGACAGUACUAUACGAAUAAGGUCCGGCUAAUUACGUG
rnacentral:rRNA from 1 species